UGCCUCUCCUGCUAACAUACAAUCGCAUUCAGAGAGUGUUGCCUGUGAACACUUACGUCAGUGCGUGCAUGACGGUCAGCCAUAUUGAGGGAACUGUGGAGAUCUCUUCAUGGGUUGCUGGCAAGGGAGUAUUGCCAACUGCAAAAUUUACAACUAUUUGGUCAAAGAAUCGGUUAGGUGGUAGGUGAAGCUAUGCAAAAAUGCCGCUAUGUUGGACAAGAACAUCCACCAGUUACUCGUUCAAAGAUUUUCCGUGCUGGGCUGAUAUGAUUUUCCACCAAAUUUAGUGGAAAACCCACUGAAUUAGCAAUGCUGUGGAGUGAGAAAUGUUGUUGGAACACUCUCAUACGCGGAAAAUUUGAGUGCGACUGGAACUCGCAGUGAGCGUUUAGCACCACCGCCAAGUUACGCUAGCCCUCGCUGCGAGUAUUUAGCAACGAAAGAGUUAAGAAGUAAAAUUUUAAUGCUCACUAUUUCUCCACCAAGAGGAACCUGCACACUGACUCACCUCACCCACGACUAUACUGAAACCAAACUGGUGAGAUCGUUUUGGCAUUGGCUUCUGCGGGUCCUUUCCUCCCCAGCGCUCUGCCACACAGUCCCAACACCUAUUUGUUCCUCUAACACAUGAGAGGAAGAGACAGGUGUUAGGAUUCCAUGUUCGAGCAUCAGGGAGGAAAGGACCAACAGUAGUCAACACAAAAACGAUCUCUCCAAUCUUUUUCCCUUAUAGUUAUUCACGCAUGGCACUGACUCGUAAUCCUGUUGUUAGUUGCUCGGUUCCAAAGAGUUGUACAUACACACACUGCCUACAGAUAUUUGUCUCUUUGUGCUAGCUGAUUAUAGACGUACUUGUGUCACUCCUCAUUAUACUCAUCCAAGAACUUUAACUUUUGCAUGAGUAUAUAAAGAAUUAAUUAUGUGAUUAUCGUUGUUCAGCUCCAAAGAGUCGUAUACUGUGCACUGCCUAUAUAUAUUUCUCUCUGGUUGGUGUUCUCAGAUGCUUCCGCCUCUCACGACAACUAUAUUCAAAGGCCGAAAAAGAGAUCAAAUGCGUUGCAGUGAGUGAUUCUGUAGGUUCAUGGCGCAAAAGAUAGGUCAGACUACCAGGUCGUAAAACUACCCCUGGAAAUGCCCACAACACUAACGAAAGCCCAUGUGUGCUCGGGUGGCAAAACGUUUAGGAAUAUGACCCUUUGUGUUAACUGAUCUUACUUACGUACUUGUGUCACUCAUAUGUUCUGCUUGCUGGAGUUGUUAGGUUCCAAGGAGAUGCAUACACACUGCCCAUGAACAUCUCUUUGUGUCAUCUGCUUCUUUACUUGUUUUAGGUUCCAAGAUACAUACACACUGCCCAUGAACAUCUCUUUGUGUCAACUGGUUCUUUACUUGUUUUAGGUUCCAAGAUACAUAGACACUGCCCAUGAAUAUCUCUUUGUGUCAACUGCUUCUCGACUUGCUUGUUUUAGGUUCCAAGAUACAUACACACUACCCAUGAAUAUCUCUUUGUGUCAACUGCAUCUCGACUUGUUUUAGGUUCCAAGAUACAUACACACUGCCCAUGAAUAUCUCUUUGUGUCAACUGCAUCUCGACUUGUUUUAGGUUCCAAGAUACAUAGACACUGCCCAUGAAUAUCUCUUUGUGUCAACUGCUUCUUUACUUGUUUUAGGUUCCAAGAUACAUAGACACUGCCCAUGAAUAUCUCUCUGUGUCAACUGCUUCUCGACUUGCUUGUUUUACUCUUCAUUACGUCCUAGUUGCUUGAGGUGGCUUGUACAGACUAACGUGGAUGGGGUAUUUUGUUAGCUCAUUUGUG